GCCGUGGCCUACUGGUUAGCGCUUCGGACUUGUAACCGGAGGGUUGCCGGUUCGAACCCGGAUCAGUAGGCA
rnacentral:tRNA from 1 species